rnacentral:rRNA from 1 species
UACGGAGGAUCCGAGCGUUAUCCGGAUUUAUUGGGUUUAAAGGGUGCGUAGGCGGUUUGAUAAGUUAGAGGUGAAAUGUCGGGGCUCAACCCCGAAACUGCCUCUAAUACUGCUGGACUAGAGAAUAGUUGCGGUAGGCGGAAUGUAUGGUGCAGCGGUGAAAUGCUUAGAGAUCAUACAGAACACCGAUUGCGAAGGCAGCUUACCAAACUAUAUCUGACGUUGAGGCACGAAAGCGUGGGUAGCAAACAGG